AAAAUCUCGUUCCAGUCAUUUUCCAGCCACCACGUGCACCGCUUCCACGAAGCAAUCGAGGAGUUCGAAACGAAACGCUCGUCCGAACGAAAACGUACCGAACGAAAUGUAUUCGCCCUCCAACCAUGGUUACGAGCUUUUAAUAAUAAGAGCAUCGCACGAGCUUCUUUACGGUUUCUCUUUCUCUGCUUUUCUCUUUCGCGUUGCACUCUGUCUAGCACGGUGGUCCUUUUCGAGAUAGAUAGCGCGAUUAUGUAGUGCGUGCGGCGUCAACGUUUAAUUAUACAACCCCCGACAGUUAAUUAGCACGUUAAUGGAGGAAAAGAGGAGAAAGAGAAGAAAGAGAAGCGUGGAAUAGGACGAGAAGGUCAUAAUCAAGCAGAACGAGCAAAGAAAACAGUAUAGAAGCGAGCAGCGAUCGUUGGCUCUGAACCUAAAUGAGGGAGCCAAGGUUGAGCGCGAAACGAUGCCUCGAACGACCGACCGAACGAAACGAAAACUCGCGCAGCUACUUUUAACGUUCGACGGUCCUUUCUCGUUUGUUUACCCGAGAAUUUACCGACAGCUGGUAACUGACCUCGUGCAAAACACGAAUCACGUUGCUCCGCACGAGGAAACCACGCAAAAUUGAUACUGAUGAUGCAAUCUCGAGCAAACAGCGGACUACAACAGCGAGACGUGGAAACUCUGUAGGAAAAAAAUUUACGUUCUAUCCGACUGGAAACAUCGGCCUCGAUUUUUACUACUUUUCUUUCUUUUCGUCGCAUCUGCAUUGGAAAUUGAAACGAUAAAUUAAGCGAACGACGAUAGACAGGAACGUUCGUGCCACGGAUCGUUUAGCGAACGCAGGCUCGGUUCUCGGGAAAAUGGACGGCUAUAAGCAGAUUCGAAAAAGAAGAGUUAAGAGAGACGAAAUACAAGUAGCUCUCCUCUGCGAUAGCCUGCAACGAGGGUGAAGGUUUACGGCGGAAUUAUAAACAGCCGAAGGUCGGUAUUACUGGGAAAACAAAUUAUAGUGCUUUCACGCGCGAAAACGCACACUUGCAAAAUCCUUGUCCAAAUAUAAAUUGGUGCUUUUUUUUAUCGAAUUUCUGAUAUCGAAUUCUAUCGAUCGCAAAAGUCUGGCAAAUACGAACAGAAAUCUCAAUUAGACGGACGAUGAAUAUAUUCUGCAAGAUCUACUAUUAGCCAAAUAUUUCGUCAAAUACUCGAAUACCAAGUUUAGGACAAAUAUCGUUUCUGAUUCGAAAAAGAAACCGGAGUUAUUAAGAAACCGGAUUAAUUGAUGAGGUUUCAUCCAUUCAAUUCGUUUUAUCCAUUACGAGGCUUGGAAACUUACAAGAAAUACUUCAAUAAAAACAUUUACGAUACAGCAGUCAUCGAAAUC